rnacentral:lncRNA from 1 species
GUUAAGCAAGCAAUCUAUCUAAGUAAGUAAGUGUGUUAGUUAGACAAUGACAAGAAGCAUUACAAACACAACAAAUAUAUAGUGGUUCGGUGCACCCCAGCACCUACAUCCACUCCCCAAGACCUCUUGGGAAUUUCACUAUAAUCCUACAGAUUACAGCCGGUUGUUUUACAAGCUCACAACCCAACUUGUUGUUUUACGAGCGCACAAUGAACUCGGUCGGUUUUCCCAGGCUCACCGACUAGAACCACUCCGAUUGUUUUCCCGGGAUCACAAUCGAACCCUUACACCGUUGGUUUCAACCUAGGCUCACCAACAAACCUCUCACCGUUGGUUUUCCCUUUGGCUCACCAACAAACCUUAACCCCUUGAUUCAAUCCCUUGAUUGAAUCAAGUUACAAGAUAUUAAAAACAAAGUUUAAAACAAAUCAAAGCUUCUUAAAUAAGCAAAUAUAACAAUAUAAACAAAGAGAGUAAAGAGAAGCCCUCAAACGAGUUUUGAAGAUG